UUACUUACCUGGCAAAGGAGAUACCAUGAUCAUGAAGGUGGUUUUCCCAGGGCGAGGCUUAUCCAUUGUACUCCGGAUGUUCUGACCCCUGUGAUUUCCCGCUAAGUGAAAAAAAAAAGAAAUUACUCAGGGUAAACCUGAGAAGUAUGGUUUGAAGCC
rnacentral:snRNA from 1 species